rnacentral:hammerhead_ribozyme from 1 species
AUCCAUCUGACGAGUCCCAAAUAGGGCGAAACGCACGUCCUGGAU